GUAGGUGGCAAGCGUUGUCCGGAAUUAUUGGGCGUAAAGCGCGCGCAGGCGGUUCUUUAAGUCUGAUGUGAAAGCCCACGGCUCAACCGUGGAGGGUCAUAGGAAACUGGGGAACUUGAGUACAGAAGAGGAAAGCGGAAUUCCACGUGUAGCGGUGAAAUGCGUAGAGAUGUGGAGGAACACCAGUGGCGAAGGCGGCUUUCUGGUCUGUAACUGACGCUGAGGCGCGAAAGCGUGGGGAGCAAACAGGGAUUAGAUACCCUGGUAGUCCACGCCGUAAACGAUGAGUGCUAAGUGUUAGGGGGUUUCCGCCCCCUUAGUGCUGCAGCUAACGCAUUAAGCACUCCGCCUGGGGAGUACGGCCGCAAGGCUG
rnacentral:rRNA from 1 species